rnacentral:rRNA from 1 species
GGCUCAGAACGAACGCUGAUGGCGUGCUUCAUACAUGCAAGUCGAGCGCCCCGCAAGGGGAGCGGCGAACGGGUGAGUAACGCGUGAACAAUCUGCCCUAAAGUGGGGGAUAACCAUUCCAACGGAUGGCUAAUACCGCAUAGCGUUACGAGGUGGCAUCACUUUGUAACAAAAGGCUUCGGCCGCUUCAGGAUGAGUUCGCGUCCCAUUAGCUUGUUGGCGGGGUAACGGCCCACCAAGGCAACGAUGGGUAUCCGGCCUGAGAGGGUGUACGGACACAUUGGGACUGAGAUACGGCCCAGACUCCUACGGGAGGCAGCAGUAGGGAAUCUUGCGCAAUGGGCGAAAGCCUGACGCAGCAACGCCAUGUGAGGGAUGAAGCAUUUCGGUGUGUAAACCUCUGUCAGCAGGGAAUAACAAGCACUUCGGUGCCUAUGAAUGUACCUGCGAAGGAAGCCCCGGCAAACUUCGUGCCAGCAGCCGCGGUAAUACGAGGGGGGCAAGUGUUGUUCGGAAUCACUGGGCGUAAAGGGAGCGUAGGUGGGUGCUUAAGUUGGGAGUUUAAUUCCGGGGCCCAACCCCGGGCAGGCUCCCAAAACUGGGCAUCUUGAAUAGAGGAGAGGUCAGCGGAAUAGGGGGUGUAGCGGUGGAAUGCGUAGAGAUCCCCUAGAACACCAGUUGCGAAGGCGGCUGACUGGACUCAUAUUGACACUGAGGCUCGAAAGCGUGGGGAGCAAACAGGAUUAGAUACCCUGGUAGUCCACGCCGUAAACGAUGAACACUAGGUACUGGACUUAUCAACGGUUCGGUGCCGUAGCUAACGCGUUAAGUGUUCCGCCUGGGGAGUACGCUCGCAAGGGUGAAACU